UUCAGACCGUAAACGAUGCCAUCUGGCGAUCCAUGGGUGUUAUAUAUGACUCCAUGGGCAGCCACCGGGAAACCUUUAAGUUGGGUUCCGGGGGAAGUAUGGUUGCAAAGCUGAAACUUAAAGGAAUUGACGGAAGGGCACCACCAGGAGUGGAGCCUGCGGCUUAAUUUGACUCAACACGGGGAAACUCACCCGGCCCGGACACUGUAAGGAUUGACAGAUUGAUAGCUCUUUCUUGAUUCGGUGGGUGGUGGUGCAUGGCCGUUCUUAGUUGGUGGAGCGAUUUGUCUGGUUUAUUCCGAUAACGAACGAGACUCUAGCCUACUAAAUAGACAACACUUUCUUUGAGUGUUGCGCUUCUUAGAGGGACAAGCGACGUUUAGUCGCACGAGAUUGAGCAAUAACAGGUCUGUGAUGCCCUUAGAUGUUCGGGGCUGCACGCGCGCUACACUGAAAGCAUCAACAUGCAUAUCAACCUACCUCGGAAGAGGCGGGUAACCCUUUGAAACGCUUUCGUGAUUGGGAUUGUGAAUUGCAAUUAUUUCACAUGAACGAGG
rnacentral:rRNA from 1 species